rnacentral:lncRNA from 10 species
UACUGGGAAGGCUAGGGCAAAAUCCAAUGCUCUAGUCUAUUAAUUCCAUUUGUGGGUAUUUGGAAAAUAAUAUUCCAUACCCUCUUUGAUAUUUUACUUUUCAUCUUUAUUUUUGCAUUAUUUGAUUGUAUUUAUAUAUAACAGAAUAAGAUAAAGCACAAUCAGAUGUUAGAAUGUGACAGUGUUAUUUCUCUGCAGUUUAUAAAACUUGUUCUUUAAUUCCUCACGCUGAACUUCUUCCUGCAAAGGGCAUUCAGGGAAUAACCAUCUAAUGCACAAGGUAUGAGGAAUAAGAGAAGACUUGGCCCAGGAAAUGAUGGAUGUACCAACUAAGGCAGUUAGUAUUUAUUUUGAUUUACAAUAAAGUACAAUUACUACUAAUUCAAAAAUAUAUAUUAUUUUAAUGGUCGGAACCAGAUGUCCUUUAAAGCAGGAAAAUGUCUUUGGGAAAAUAGGUUAUUAAGCUCUUUAUCUUGGAUUAACAGAUGUUUUCGGGCGCCUGUAGUCCCAGCUACUCCGGAGGCUGAGGCAGGAGAAUGAUGUGAACCCGGGAGGCGGAGCUUGCAGUGAGCCAAGAUUGUGCCACUGCACUCCAGCCUGGGUGACAGAGCGAGACUCCGUCUUAAGAAAGAAAGAAAGAAAGAAAGAAAGAAAGAAAAAAAGAAAGAAAGAAAGAAAGAAAGAAAGAAAGAAAGAAAGAAAGAAAGAAAGAAAGAAAGAAAGAAACAAAGAAAGAAACAAAGAAACAAAGAAAGAAAGAAACAUAAAGUGUUCUGCAUUGUUAACAAUAAUUUUUGAAACAGAGUUUGAAGAUUAUGGAACAAUGCAUUAAUGUGUUAUUAUUAAUAAGAACUUCUAGAAACAGAGAAGUCUGAUAUUGCAUUUGAAGUUCACGGCAAGAGCAUGAUGCAAACUCCCACUCUGUCCCCCUGAAGCCCUGGGAGUACACGUCCCUAGAAGCACAUAGCUCCAGCAACAAAGCUAAUCUGAGAGUAAUACCCAAGAUGCCUCCUACCUUGCAAAUUUCAAGGAAUUUCUCACUGGUGUAUUUCAUAGGAUGCUCAGUGAAAGUAGCAUAAGGAACUUCAGUGGACCAUGGGUUCCAGCGGGACAGAAGAGACUGCUCCUCCGGACUCCCCCAGUAGAUCCUAAGGCCUUCUCCUUGUCUCCUACAAGAAAGGCGUUUUCCAUUAGAUUAGUCAUUUCCAUUUCCAAAAAAAAAAAAAUAGAAUGUAAUACAUCAGUCAGCCUUCAUAUUAACUCCCAACUAGUUAAACUGUUCAAAAGAUUUUAGGGGGUGAGAAGAAAAAGGUGAAUUAGGUUUUAAAAAUAGGAAAUUCAAGGUGUUUGGAGGAAUUCUAUAUGGGAAACACCUACUUGGAAAUGUGAGUCUGACACUCAGAACAGUGGCUAGAGCUGGAAAUACGGAUAUUGAUGUCACACCAAGAUUCUGAUGGUAAGAAUUAAAAGGUAUCUCUGAAUGCAAAGAGAUGCCCGGAGGUUAAGCCAAACUCAGGUGCCCUGCAUUCGACAAGCUUGGAAACUAAGUUGCCUGUAAUUCUAAACAGCCCUAUGGAACUUCACGGAUGUCUCAUUUUGUCUAAAAAUUAAAUCCUGGGAUUUCUGGAAUGAAAAACCAGAGCUUAAUUGUGGUGCCUUCACAAAACUGUCACUUCCUGUAUUAAGGAAGGAUUCCUUCGGGAAUGCUGUUAUGGUUUCUGAAUGUUUAUCCAUGUGGAGAUGGUAUAAGCACAAUUUCACACAAAUGCAUAUAACACUCCGCUCCCCAACUGGUUAAUACCUGAACUUUUCUCACAAAAGGAAAGUAAAAAAAGUCCCUGAAACAUUCUGCUGGCCAGUUAUCAGAUUUUUGAUGAUUAUAUUUGAAAACUGACACCCAACUUUUUUUUGUACUUAAUCCUUUGCCCAAGAAGAAAAAUGAAAAAAAAAAAAAAAAGUAUAUAGGAAAAAAAAGACAGAGUUAGGAAAAAAAAGACAGAGUAAAGAAAAAUAUUGAGAAGAAUAGAAAAAUAGAAGAAAAAUAUACCUCUAAAGUUUUCUUUCUCCCUCUCCUUCUCAGCUAGUAUACUGGCAUUUAUUAUCCCCCAGCUCUUUUUUUUCUGGCCUGACAAUAAACUCUAAACUCAAUGAAUAUUCUAUGAGUGCUGGUAAAUGGAGCAUUCUGGAUUGAGUCCAUUAAAACAACUUGCACAAUGGAAUUAUUUACUGCUUCAUAUGUCAAUUUAUGUGCUGGGUGCAAUUUUGCUUUUAUCCAAAGGGGAUGAAAAUCUGCCAAGAGAGCUUGCCUAAUAAGUACACAUUAUAUUCUUUUACCUUAGGGAAACCUCAAAUGAAGUUUGAGCAUGAAAUUCAAGAGGGACCCUAUUUCUAAAUAACCAGUCAAUGUGACUAUAAAAAGGACCUUUCUCAGAGAUAUAGUAUACUUCCAAAUAUGCAAGUUCAGCCAACCUUCUUUCCUGAGCUCCAGAGGUGAAAACUAGGAAGAUUAAUCUGAAGCUAAGUUAUCACUCCAAGGGUGGGGCUUCUCAGGCCAUCCAGCAAAGCUGUUAGUAUCACAGUGCUAUGAAAGACGAUCAUCUUCUCUUUUGUCAAACACCAUUAGAACAAUCGUGGAGACUGCAGAUGCCUUUAUGACCAGAAAUACUUUAUUUAAUAGUAACGUACUCACAUGAAAGAAAUCCUGGGAGGCGACAGAGUGGAGUAAAAGUGCAGUGAGCUGGAUGUCCGGGAGUCCUGUGAUACAGUCUCGGUUUUGACACUUAACAUUGCGUGACUAUGGGCAAGCUUAUUUCUCUUUCUGAAUCUGAAUCAUUUCUCUUUCUGAAUCUUCUGAAUAUGUCUUCCCAUAUUUAGAAAAAAACAGGACUUCCUCAUCUGUUCUUUAGAAUCUCUAUAUCGAGACAUUCCAUGACCUCAGUCAUGCUGUGUGAAUAGUGUAGGUGGUCAUGAUGCCAGUAACGAUCAUCUGGUUGCAGACAUACAACAUCCAUAAGCAGUCUUGGGGUAUGAAUUCUCUAGUUCAGAAGCAUCUAAUUAGCCCCACUGAGCAGAACAAGUCCUCUACUGCAAAGGUCACAGCAAGUACUAUCCUAUCAUUCCAAGAGGCUUUCAGGACCUACCACAACAUUUUACAAACAUGGAAAAGCACAAAUCAGCUAUUUCUCAGUGGAAAUGCAGAUAAGGUUUAUAAACUGUAGAAUGUCAGAGCUAGAAGGGCUCUUGGAAGCUAUAGCCCAGUGCUUCCUUUCUGUGGAUGGAAAAAACUGAGACUCAGAAAGUACCAGAAUUUUCCCAAAGCAUCACUACAAGACAGGGAUGAACUGGCAAGAGUCCUGGUUUCCUGAGACCUCAUUCAGGGGUCUUUUCACCAUUCUGGGCUAAGGCUACAAAAUAUAUUCAAAGCUAAAGCCCUGCUAUUGCAUAACAUAGCCUUAUUUCCAAUAGACACAAAGUUAAAAGAAUUGCUCUGAGGAGGCUGUCAUCAUUCAUGGGUGAAAAAAGCCUGCCUACGGAUCCCAGUCAGUUAUCAGAAGAAAACCUCUGUCUCAAAACAAACUAUGCAUUCUUAAAUAUACUCAAUAUGAGCAAUUUUGAGACUAUAGGAAAAUAAGGAAGCACUGGAUGUGAAGGAGACAAUUACAAACAAGUUAAGUUGUCAGGGUGAGAAGAUUGGGUCUUUGGCCAGGUGCGGUGACUCACGCCUGUAAUCCCAGCACUUUGGAAGGCUGAGGUGGGUGGAUCACCUGAGGUCAGGAGUUUGAGACCAGCCUGGUCAACUUGGUGAGACUCCCAUCUCUACUAAAAAUACAAAAAUUAGCCGGGUGUGGUGGUGGGAGCCUGUAAUCCCAACUACUUGGGAGGCCAAGGCAGGAGAAUCACUUGAACCCAGGAGGCAGUGGUAGCAGUGAGCCAAGAUCAUGCCACUGCACUUCAGCCUGGGCAACAGAGCGAGACUCUGUCUCAAACAAAAAGAAGAAGAAGACUGGGUCUUUCUCACUGAGCUGCUAUGAUGGGUUAAUUAAAGUCCUAAGUAAAGGUUGCCAACAUCAAAUUAUCAAGCAAAUAAAUAUUUGGAAGUUUUCUUUCUGAAAUUAUACUCGGUAUAAAUCAUGACUUUCACUAGCUUGUGUCUUUGGGCAUUUCACACCACCUUUCUGAUCUGUAGGUCACAAUAAUUUUGUGAAAAACAGGAGGAUAACGGAUGAUAAAAAGUUUUGUUUCUGUAAGGCACUGUCCCACCAGCAUAUAUUGAGUGUCUACUAUGAACCAUACUACCCACUCUGUACUGUUAGAGAUCUUAUAUUUUUUAUUUUAUUUAACCCAUAUAGUAAUUUUGAGCUACUUUUGAAGACAUAGAUGUAGUUACAGGAAAUAAGUUAAAGAAUAUCACCAGACUUAAUCAGAUCAUCAAGUCAAGAACCACUAGUGAAAUGUAAUUUUAAAAAAGGGGCAGGGAAAGGAAAAACACCAGAAUCACUGGACAUAAACAAAACCAGAGAAGCAAAUCUCUAGCACAGAGGAAGUAUUGGGAUGUUUUAUGCUUGUCUUCACCUAUUGAUACCUCUUCUUCCACCUGUAUCCGGGUCCAAGGAUGCUUCUUAUGUGUCAGCUUCUGCUUUCCAUCAAUGUUUUCAUAUGUAAGAUUUCUACUUGAAUCUAAAUCCAUCAGAAAAACUUCCAUUCAGAUAGCUUAAAUAAGCUCUUCAAUUCUCUUUUCUUCAGUCUGAAUAAGCCUAACUUCUUAAUUAUAUUUUCUGAUGGGUUAAAAGUAAUCUUUUAAAUCACCUCAGAGCUGAUCCUCUAAAACAUUCCAAAGUUCUCCAUUUUCAAUUCCACCAUUUUCUUAGCACAUUCUCUAUGCAGGGUAUAGAGAAAGGAAUAAGACUCAGUGCCUGAACUCUGUAAGCCCAUGAUCUGACAAUCUAUGAGCCGAUUUUACUAUCAAUUUGUUCCCAGACCUCAAAAAGCACAAAUAGAAACUUGCAAGUCUCAUUUCAGAAAUAGAGGAUCACUUAUUUCAAUUAUUCCCACUUUCUAUCCUCAAGGAAAACAGCUGGAUCUGGCCUCCAUUCCCACAGUAGUGGAAGUAAGAAGGACAAUGUACUCUUUACUUCUAGUAAGUUCCAAAGCCUCCCAGAAAGAGGCAGAGGCAGGGGAAGGGUCCCAUAAGGACUUGGUGGAAGAAGGUUUGUAAUAGUCAUGGAUGUUUAGGAUCCUAAACUAUCUGAGUUGGAAGGCCUUUUGGAGAGGUCAGUUUCCAAUUCUUUGAUUUUAUAGAUAUGUAACUGAGACUAGAGUUUU